GGAAGGAUCAUUACCGAAUUGUCAACAUGAAGUUGUUGCUGGCCCUCAAAUGGGGGCAUGUGCACACUCUGUUUACACAUCCACUCACACCUGUGCACUCUCUGUAGUACUGUGGUCUGGGGGUUCUGUCCUCCUACUGUGGUUCUGCGUAUUUAUACACACACACUGUAAUAAAGUUUCAUGGAAUGUAUGCCGCGUUUAACGCAAUGAAAUACAACUUUCAGCAACGGAUCUCUUGGCUCUCGCAUCGAUGAAGAACGCAGCGAAAUGCGAUAAGUAAUGUGAAUUGCAGAAUUCAGUGAAUCAUCGAAUCUUUGAACGCACCUUGCGCCCUUUGGCUAUUCCGAAGGGCAUGCCUGUUUGAGUAUCAUGAACACCUCAACUCUCAUGGCUUGCCACGAUGAGCUUGGACUUGGGGGGUUUUGCUGGCCUACGGUCAGCUCCCCUCAAAUGCAUUAGCUUUCCAGCAUUUGGUGGCAUCACAGGUGUGAUAAACAUCUACACGUGUGGUUCCCCACCAUGUAACCUUCAGUGAUGGAGGUUCACUGGAGCUCACAAAUGUCUUUCCUCAGUGAAGACAGUUCUUUGAUUGUUUGAUCUCAAAUCAGGUAGGACUACCCGCUGAACUUAAGCAUAUCAA
rnacentral:sRNA from 1 species